AUGUACGAAUUCAGGGAAUCUACCAUAUGGCAGAGAUUUCAGUACAAAUGGACUCAGGAAAGAGGAUGUAAAAUAUGUUCCCAAAAGUUCCUAACGCUUGAUCUUGUUUUCACAACUUUAUUUCCUUGUACCCUGAACGUCUCCGUACAACGGCGAAGCACGUCGCUGACGUCAGCUGUCGGUGAGGGGGAAAAAGUGACGCCGACACAAGCCGGAGCCGAGAAGGGGAAUAGUGUUUUGUUUCUUUUUUUCUUUCAUUUAUAUCAUUUUAUUAUUUCUCGUUUUGUUGGUAUUUCGCAUGAUUCCCGCUGCGGGUUUGACUGCUUUGCUUUUCAGCGCUUGCUCCCUGUCGUUAACUUCCAUGCCGCUCUCCCCUCACGCGGCGCUGUUUUGACAGUCGGGUCGCUGUGGAUCCAACUCAAGCUAGCAGCGGGCUCCAGACUGUAGGCAAGACCAUGCUGCUGCAGUAAGCCGAAGGCAGAGAAGAGAGGCCCUAGACGACCUCUGAGGUGGUGUUUGGCCUGUUGGUGCCUCCCCUCCCCCCCUCCCUUCCUCCCUCCGUCCCUGGUUGGCAAACUGCUGCCUCUUCAGUUCACCUGAUCGCUGUAAAUAUGUUUAUAUUUUUUGUUUAUUGAAAUUUUUUGCAUGUUGUUGUUAAUGUAGUUUUAACAAAAUGUGUAAAUUGAGAAUACUUUAACCAUAACCAAGGGAUAAGUAGUUAUUUAAUGAAAAUUUUUUUGUGUUUUUUGCUGUUCUUACAAAUUUGAUAGUUAAAUGAGUUCAUUUUUCAGUUCAGUUGUAGUUUUAGCUUUCCCUGCAUGUUACCAUUAUACACUGCCCGGCCAAAAAUAAAGUUGCCACCUGGAUUUAACUAAGCAAAUGGGUAGGAGCCAGUGCAUUAUUAAAAACUGGUCUGAGUCCAGAUGGACCCUGUUCCAGAGUGAUGGUGCAUCAGGGUAAGAAGAGAGGCAGAUGAAGUGAUGCACCCAUCAUGCCUAGGGCCUACUGUACAAGCCUGUGGGGGCAGUGCUAUGAUCUGGGGUUGCUGCAGUUGGUCAGGUCUAAGUUCAGCAACAGGAUGUGCUCCAAGAAUGAGGUUAGCUUACUACCUGAAUAUACUGAAUAACCAAGUUAUUCCAUCUUCCCUGAUGGCACGGGAAUAUUCCAAGAUGACAACGCCAGGAAUCAUCUGGCUCAAAUAGUGAAAGAGUGGUUCAGGGAGCAUGAGACAUAAUUUUCACACAUAGAUUGGCCACCACAGAGUCACUGGAUGGAAAUAAAUCUUGUGAGAUUGCAGAAGCUUAUUGAAACAAUGCCACGGCGAAUGUGUGUCGUAUUUAAAGCUAAAGCUAAAUAUUAGAGUGUGUAAAUUUUGGGGGCCAGGCAGUGAAAAUUGACAGAAGUGUACUUUAAACUUAUUUGAUAAUGUGACAUUGUUAGCUCAGUAAUGAUCGAAAUGUGAAAGUAACACACUAAGUUGUGGAAAGUUUUUGAAAACAAUAGACAGUACUUAAAGGUGUGAUUGACUGAAAAACAAUUUUUUAAUGAUUUUUUUCUUAUUAUGAUCAAUCACUGAGUUUUUCUUGCAGGCUGAAUAUGAAAGAAGUCUCGUACACGUAUCUCCUGCAUUAGAUUCUGAUAGAAAAUAUAUAAUGAAACGCUAGGAUUUGAAAAUCCUGAAAGAUCUACUUCACAUUGUGAGUUGGACUUACUCAUAUUGACUCACGAUGGGGAAGGCUGUUGGUUUAGCGCCCAGAUUUAGCAGAGAAUGUCUUGGUCAACUGAAGCUAACCGCUAGCAUUAGCAACUCUAGCAAAAGACAGAAGCUCCUCCAGGCUUGUGUUAUUUGUGGAGAUAAAAUAUCCAUGUCCCCCAGUAAACAUAGUCGGUGGUCGAGUCGCGUUACAUUUAUAGGAAAGAGGGAAAUCAGUGGGUCUGGGAAAGGCGGAGUUGGUAGAAAAAGCAGGAUAAGGUGAGGGUUGUGAUGAAGGUCACACCAAAGCCAGCCUGAACAAGUAAGUUUUCAGCUGCUUUUUAAAGGAGACCACUGAGUCCACUGAUCUCAGGCUCAGGGAGGCCACAGCAGUAAAUGAUCUGUCACCUUUGGUCUUUAGACUGGUGUGCUCCAUACCCAGUAGGCUUUGGUCACUGGACCUCAGGGACAUGCAUGUACAUAGGAUACAAUAAACACCAUAGACACCAACAAAAUAUUCAGUUCUUAUCACCAAAGCCAUAACAUUUGUUUAAUCUAUGACAGUGACAAAAGAAGCAAAUAAUGAUAAUAUAAAUAAGUCAUUAAAUAAAAACUACUAACAUUUACAAAAGCUGGUACUCUAAUGGUAAGAUAGAAUGGCCUUUUGGAAAGUGAAAAGUAGUGAGAGAACAAAUUUCUGCAGAAAGACUGUUAGAUUUUACAUUUAUGCAGCCAAUACAAAAUGUUAGAAUUUUAUUUUCCUACCUUUUGCUUUUCCCCACAGCCCUACCCCCUAAAGCAGAAAUUUGCUAUGGACAGCACUGCGCCCCCUGCUGCAGCCCACCCCAGUACCCUACCUUAGUGGGUUUCCCUCAACUUUCUGCGUGCACUUUCUGCCCACAUUCACUGUACAUAGUCCAGCAUAGACCUGGUCCCACCUACAGGUAUUGUGAAGUAAACAUUAUGUUUUGGUUUCUCUACUUUUAUAAUGGCUUUUAGUUGAAAAGAAAAGCUCAUUCUUUCAGUGCAGAGUUUUCCUCUUAUGUCAUUCCUCUUUUUUGUUUUUCCACAGCCACUGCUGGGUCCUCCACCUUAUCCCCUUCCCACUCCCACCCUCUCCCCUCCCCUAAGAAGAUGUCAGUGAGCCUGACAACCGACAUCCAGCAGGAGGGAGAGAGUGGGCCACUAAUUGUGCCCUGCAGUCGAGGCAAGAGCUCUCCUCAACCACAAGGUACCAAGGAUGGGACAGGAGAGGGCCUGGAGCCAGAAGAUAGCACCUCACAGGAUCCACAGGUGGGAGGAAGUAACGUAUGAAUACCAGAAGACUUUAGACUGUUUAGGCCGGAAUAUACUUGUUUUUUAAUCUCGUGUUGGCGCAGGAGGCAGGCUGCGUCUUUGUUCAUACUUUCUGCUGCACAGCGUGUACUACUGGGUGAUUCCGCUAGGGGGCACAGGAGAGUACUCAGCACGGAUAGAGAGGCAAGUUUGUGGGGUACAACCAAAACAAACAUAGCAUCAACAGAAGAGGGCAGUAACUGGUUAUUUUUACAGUAUCAUAGACCGUAUGAAAGACCUCUAAACUAGAGGUGACAUCACCACGGUGAGUGUGUUUUGUCAACUCCACCUACUGGUUACUCAAAUUUUGCAGCGUUUGAAUGCGUCACAUUAAUUUCGGGGGACGUGCACAAACAGUGCUUCAAAUGAACACAAGUUACACAAGGCAGACAUUUUAAACACGCGUAUGUGCCAUUAAAAGCAAGUAUAUUCUAGCCCUUAUUCAUUAAUACAGUUUCUGUAUAAAACUGUAUAAAUGAGCCAGUUAUGUAUCAUUUCUACUGUUUCUGUGCAGAUUUAUGUCUGCAAUUUCUCCUUUUUCAAAAAAUUAUGCAUUUUGUUUUUUUUUUAGUAUCAGUAAUGUUAUUCAUGUGAUUGACAGUGCUUGGCUGAAGUAGGAUGAUCCAACAUUUUAGGAAUAUUUAUUUUUUAGCAGGGAUUUGAGAAAUUUCUUAAAUCGUCUCACUCACCAAGAAAUAUUUUGUUUCACUUGAGCAUGCCAAGCAUUGCCAUCUCUAACUUGAGUAUAAAAUAGCCAAAAGUCAAUUGGGUCCUCGGCUUUGAAGCUACAUCUUAUCUACACUGCGUGUGAUGAGCUUUGUCGUCGUGCAAUUAAGCAGCGACAUAGAGAUCAGAGACUAGAAGAAAAAAACAGCGAGAUCUAAAAUUCCCUGCUGUAAAUGUGUUUGUUUUAGAGUUGCCUUUAGUCUGAAACAUGCUCCACAUUCAGCGUGAACAGUACUCAUGCCAAAUUUUUUAACAACAUUUUAUUUGGUUAGACUGAUCAUUAUGAAGGAAACUACAUUUCUGCGGCUGUGGGGUAUUUUGUG
rnacentral:lncRNA from 1 species